rnacentral:misc_RNA from 1 species
GAUGAAGAACGCAGCGAAAUGCGAUAAGUAAUGUGAAUUGCAGAAUUCAGUGAAUCAUCGAAUCUUUGAACGCACAUUGCGCCCGCCAGCAUUCUGGCGGGCAUGCCUGUUCGAGCGUCAUUUCAACCCUCGAGCCCCCCCGGGGGCCUCGGUGUUGGGGGACGGCACACCAGCCGCCCCCGAAAUGCAGUGGCGACCCCGCCGCAGCCUCCCCUGCGUAGUAGCACACACCUCGCACCGGAGCGCGGAGGCGGUCACGCCGUAAAACGCCCAACUUUCUUAGAGUUGACCUCGGAUCAGGUAGGAAUACCCGCUGAACUUAAGCAUUUCAAUAAGCGGAGGA